UAUUGCACAAUGGGCGCAAGCCUGAUGCAGCCAUGCCGCGUGUGUGAAGAAGGCCUUCGGGUUGUAAAGCACUUUCAGUCAGGAGGAAAGGUUAGUAGUUAAUACCUGCUAGCCGUGACGUUACUGACAGAAGAAGCACCGGCUAACUCCGUGCCAGCAGCCGCGGUAAUACGGAGGGUGCGAGCGUUAAUCGGAAUUACUGGGCGUAAAGCGUACGCAGGCGGUUUGUUAAGCGAGAUGUGAAAGCCCCGGGCUCAACCUGGGAACUGCAUCUCGAACUGGCAAACUAGAGUGUGAUAGAGGGUGGUAGAAUUUCAGGUGUAGUGGUGAAAUGCGUAGAGAUCUGAAGGAAUACCGAUGGCGAAGGCAGCCACCUAGAUCCAACACUGACGCCCAUUACGAAA
rnacentral:rRNA from 1 species